CAAAUGAGUUGCAUGGCUCUCCUCCAAGUGCCCUGGACCUGCCCUCUGCUUCCAGCUGACUCAGCCUGGCUGAUGCUUCCCCCAGCAUCAGGGCUGCCCUUUGACCCUCCUUAUAGAAAAGGUGACAAAAAAUCCACAAGGGCUCUCGGCCUUAGCGCCAUCUUUUGAGAAACCUCUGCGCCAUGAGAGCCAAGUGGAGGAAGAAGUGAAUGCGCAGGCUGAAGCGCAAAAGAAGAAAGAUGAGGCAGAGGUCCAAGUAAACUUGUACACCCAUGGAAGCCACAGAAGCAGAAACAAGGGAAGCCAGAGGCCAGGGACGCUGGUGCAAAUUGUGGACUGCAUGCCUACUAUCUAGAACUUCUCAAUGGAUCUGGAACAUCUAUGGCCAUUCUGAUCGCCUUGACCACCUUUGAGAGACCUACCUUGCUCGUAUCAAAGCCGUCCCUUUUGAUCCUUUGCCCUGGACCUGUGAUAACUAUGGACCAGUUCUCUUCUCAGUUGUGGCUGAAUGUAACGUGUACAAUAAAUCAUCUCUUUUGCUGUCUUA